GAAGGCCUCCGCGACCCAGAGCAGCAAGAAGAGGAGCAGCCAUGGGAGGAAAGAACUCUAACCCGCCUCCAAGACUCCAAGAUCGAUCAAGAGCUCUCCGGGGCGAAGGACCGGAACGAGUUGGGGGCAAGAAGCACAAGGUGAAGUGGAUGAAGAGGCCAAUGACCAUGCCCCAGGCCAUCAUCGAGUUCCUCGACGAAGAUCUUAGGAAGAACGACUCCAGAUACCUAAGCAACUACCUCGUCGAGGUCUCCAUUUCUUUUGCGAAUUUUCUUGGGUUUCUUUAUUGAUUUUGGGUACAUCUGUUUCGAAUUAGAUUUUUCUCUCAAUUUGGGAUGGAUUAAUGGUUAUCGUUGUUUUGAAUUUUUCUGAUUUUUUUGCGUUCUUCUGUCUGUUACUCCUCUAAGCUGAGAUCUUUUCGAGCUUCUUUCUGGGAUUAUGGUCGUUUGUGAUUAGCUUUUCAGGAAUUGGGUUAAAGAAAAUUGGUUCGGUCUUCCUUAUCUCAGUUCUUUUUCAAUGUUUGCCCUGCUUCUAGUCUGCAUAAUUUGGUUCUUUCACUGAACUGCUUUGACUGAAUUCGAUUAAUUUCUUUUGCCACUUCAUGCUGAAGUUUCUGGUUUUGGAAUUAUUGCAGUCAUUUUCUGGAUUCUUGGUGUUUGUGUCAUUAUUUUGGUUGGAAUUCUUGGUGUUUCGAAUUCUAUUAUUUUUGGGUUUCUUUUGUUUUCUGUUCCUCUAAAGUUGAAAUCUUCAGAAUCUACCCUUGGUGAUUAUGAUUGUUAUAAAUUGGGUUUUUUCAAGGAUGGGUAAAAUCGAUAGGUUUAGUUUUUCUUUUCUCAUUUUAUUUUUCAGUUUUUGCCCUGAGCUGUGGUCCCUGUAGUUUUAUUUUUUGAUUGGAUGUCUCUCCCAAUUAUGUUUAUGAUAUUUAAAUUAAACAUAUUGUUAUUUCUUUGUAAUUUUCUUGUAUAAUCUACUAUGUUCCGUAGGAUUUGAAUCAUUUGAUGUUUAAGUAAUUCGAGGUCUCCAUAUCUGUUGGGAAUUUUCUUGGGUUUCUUUAUUGAUUUUGGGUGCAUCUGUUUCGAAUAAGACUUUUUUCUCAAUUUGUGAUGGAUUAUUGGUUAUUGUUGUUUUGAAUUUUCUGAUUUUUUUGCGUUCUUCUGUUUUUUACUCCUCUAAGUUGAGAUCUUUUCAAGCUACUUUCCAGGAUUAUGGUCGCUUGUGAUUGGCUUUUUAGGCAUUGUGUUAAAGAAAAUUGGUUCGGUCUUCCUUAUCUCAGUUCUUUUUCAAUUUUUGCCCUGACUUCUAGUAUGCAUAACUUGGUUCUUUCACUGAAUUGUUUUGACUGAAUUCGAUUAAUUUCUUUUGUCAAUUCUGCAAUGACUCCUUAUCCAUUGAUGAUUGGGAUGAGUUUUGAACACGACUCUGUUUGUUAUUUCAGUUUGAGUCGGAUUUAGAGUUCAAAAUAUGUUUCUAGAUCAGGUUAUUUAUUUGCUGUGUUGUUCUGCAAUGAUAGAGUUGCAAGGAAUGUUGUGGACCGUGGAGUUAUUAUUUGUUACUUUUUACUGUGUAAGCAUUUUGAAUGACAUGUAUGUUUUAUUCUUCCCCCUAAAUCUAACCCAUGCUAUCGUAAUGGUAUCUUGCACUUUAUUUCCUAUCAUGGCUUGAUCCAUUGAUCUUACAUCUUGUCAUUUCAUGUACAGUGCUCUUCUCUUAAAAAAACACUACAGCAGUUGUAAUCUGCAAAAGAUACCUUUUGCUGGAUGCUGGGAAACACAGUAAGAACUCAAUAUAAAGGAAUCUGUUGGACAACUUACCUACAUAUAAGACGUUUUGAUGAAACCAGAUUGAGGCAUUUAUAUUUGCUUGUCUGGCUACUGCGUCCAUCAGUUCUAUUUAUAUAUGACAACUUACCUACUCAUUCUA